GAAAUGCGAUACGUAAUGUGAAUUGCAGAAUUCAGUGAAUCAUCGAAUCUUUGAACGCACCUUGCACUCUUUGGUAUUCCGAAGAGUAUGUCUGUUUGAGUGUCAUGAAACUCUCAACCCCCUCAUUUUGUAAUGAAGUGAGUCGUGGGCUUGGAUUAUGGCUGUCUGUCGGCUUAAGUGCCGGCUCAGCUGAAAUACACGAGUAACCCAGUUUGAAAAUCUGACGGCUUGACUCGGCGUAAUAAUUAUUAUCGCUGAGGACGUCUAGCCUUCAAAUCGUUAGUGGUGCUUCUAAUGCAAAUCAUUUUAAGAUUUAGACCUCAAAUCAGUCAGGAUUACCCGCUGAACUUAA
rnacentral:misc_RNA from 1 species